AUCACCCAUCCCACCUCUUCGAAUCUGUUCGUCCAAAAAAAUCCUCGCCGAACCCAAGAUCUUCCCUACCCUUAUGUCAAGAGACCAAGAGACCAAGAAUCAAACGUGAGCUCAUCAGCUAUAGCACUCUCCCUCAUGUGCCCUCGAUUGCUCGUCUGCUGUCGGCGGUCAGGUACUGUGGUGUAGCAGCGACGUCGUCUAUCAGGAAGAAAGAAAUGGAAGAGGGCAAGCAUAAAUCCAGGAAGGAGGGGGAAUCCAAGAGGAGUCAUCGAGAUCGGCAACGUGAAAAACAGAGGAAUGGAGAGAGACACAGGGAUAAAGAUAAAGAUAAGAGAGAUCGUGAUAGUCGGCGCUCUGAGAGAGAAAAGAGUUCUGAUUCUGAGGAUAGGUAUGAUAGAGAGAAGCAUCGAGACAGGGACACUGAUAGGACACGAAGCCGGGAUGAUGAAAGAGAGAGAACGAGAGACAGGAAGAGAGAAAAAGAUAAAGAGAAGGAGAAGGAGAGAGAGAGGGCUAGAGAGAAGGAAAAGGAGAGGGAGAGGGAAAGAGAAAGAGAAAGAGAAAGAGAAAAAGAAAGAGAUAGAGAGAAAGAAAGAGAAAAAGAAAAAGAAAAGGAACGAGAAAGAGAGAGGGAGAGAAGGGAACGAGAAAGAGAGGGAGAAGAUAGAGAGAGGGAAAAGAGGGAGCGAGAGAGGGAGAGGGAAAAGGACAGAGAUCGAGAGAGGAGGAUACGGGAGAGGGAGAGGCGUAGGGACAUUGAUACUGAUGAUACUGAUGAUGAUGUUAGGGAGCGUGGUAGGAAGCGGCAUAGGAAAGAUGAAAAUGAGUACAAGGAGAAAGAGAGGGAAAGGAGUAGCAGCAGGUCAAACAGACAUAGGGAUGAUGGAGAUGGGAGCCCGAGAAAGAAGAGUGAUGAAGAUGAUUCAGUUAAGAAAGAGAAGCAGCCAACUCGUGAGGAGGAGUUAGAGGAUGAACAGCGGAAAUUGGAUGAGGAAAUGGAAAAGCGGAGAAGGAGAGUUCAGGAGUGGCAAGAGUUAAAAAGGAAGAAGGAAGAAUCUGAGAGAGAGAAACGUGGGGAAGGGGAUGUUGAUGAACCUAAGUCCGGCAAGGCCUGGACUCUUGAAGGAGAAUCUGAUGAUGAAGAAGUACCCUCAUUAGGGAAAUCAGAGAGGGAUAUGGAUGUUGAUGGAGAAGACAAUCUUACUGACAGAGAAGCUGGCGGAGAUGCUAUGGUGGUAGAUUCUGAGAAUGAAACAGAUGCACUUACUUUGCAGAAUGGGGCUGAUGAUGCUGUUGGUGAUGAAGAAGUUGAUCCAUUAGAUGCUUUUAUGAAUUCUAUGGUGUUGCCUGAAGUUGAGAAGCUGAACAAUGCUGUGGAACCAUCAAUUGUUGAUGAGAAGAACAAGGAUAAAAAGGAUGAUCUAAGUAAUGGUGAACAGCCAAGGAGAGGUUCAAAUAAAUCUAUGGGCAGAAUAAUUCCUGGGGAGGAUUCUGACUCGGAUUAUGGGGACCUUGAGAAUGAUGAUGACCCCUUAGAAGAUGAAGGUGAUGAUGAGUUCAUAAAAAGGGUGAAAAAGACAAAAGCUGAGAAGCUCUCUGUAGUUGAUCACUCUAAGAUAGAUUAUGAUCCAUUCCGCAAAAAUUUCUAUAUUGAGGUGAAGGAGAUCUCUAGAAUGACUCCAGAACAGGUGGGUGCAUAUCGGAAAGAAUUGGAAUUGAAAAUACAUGGUAAGGAUGUGCCAAAGCCGAUCAAGACAUGGCACCAAACUGGGCUUACAAGUAAAAUCUUGGAAACAAUAAAGAAGCUAAACUAUGAAAAGCCAAUGCCAAUUCAGGCUCAGGCAGUGCCUGUAAUUAUGAGUGGUCGAGAUUGUAUUGGCAUCGCAAAAACUGGGUCAGGCAAAACUGUUGCAUUCGUGCUGCCAAUGCUGAGGCAUAUCAAGGACCAGCCACCUGUGGUAGCAGGAGAUGGACCUAUUGGGCUUAUAAUGGCACCAACUAGGGAGCUUGUUCAGCAGAUUCACAGUGAUAUUAAAAAGUUUACCAAGGUACUGGGUCUCAGGUGUGUGCCUGUGUAUGGAGGUUCUGGUGUUGCCCAACAAAUUAGUGAAUUGAAGAGGGGAGCUGAAAUUGUUGUCUGUACACCCGGUAGGAUGAUUGACAUACUUUGUACAAGUGGAGGGAGAAUAACAAAUCUGCGUAGAGUAACGUAUUUGGUAGUGGAUGAAGCUGAUCGAAUGUUUGACAUGGGUUUUGAACCUCAAAUCACUCGAAUUGUUCAAAAUAUUCGGCCAGAUCGUCAAACUGUAUUGUUUUCUGCCACCUUCCCUCGCCAGGUUGAAGUCUUGGCACGCAAAGUCUUGAACAAACCUGUGGAAAUACAAGUUGGUGGUAGGAGUGUUGUGAAUAAGGACAUAGCACAAUUGGUUGAAGUGAGGCUGGAAAAUGAAAGGUUCUUGAGAUUGUUAGAGUUACUUGGGGAGUGGUAUGAGAAAGGAAAAAUUUUGAUAUUUGUCGAGUCACAGAAUAAAUGUGAUGCUUUAUUUAGGGAUCUGCUUAGGCAUGGAUAUCCUUGUCUCUCACUUCACGGGGGCAAAGAUCAAACAGAUCGUGAGUCCACCAUAACUGAUUUUAAAAGCAAUGUUUGUAAUUUGUUGAUUGCAACUAGUGUUGCUGCGAGAGGGUUAGAUGUCAAGGAGCUUGAACUGGUGAUCAACUUUGAUAGUCCAAAUCACUAUGAAGACUAUGUUCACCGUGUUGGCCGUACUGGGCGAGCUGGUCGGAAAGGCUGUGCUAUAACGUUUGUCUCUGAGGAAGAUGCUAGAUAUGCUCCAGAUCUUGUCAAAGCAUUGGAACUCUCUGAGCAAGUUGUUCCAGAUGACCUGAAAUCUCUUGCGGAUAGUUUCACUGCAAAAGUAAAUCAGGGACUCGAGCAAGCCCAUGGAACUGGUUACGGAGGAAGUGGUUUUAAAUUUAAUGAAGAGGAAGAUGAAGUGAGGAGAGCAGCAAAGAAAGCACAAGCCAAAGAAUAUGGUUUUGAGGAUGACAAGUCAGAUUCAGAAGAUGAAGAUGAAGGUAUCCGAAAGGCAGGGGGUGACAUUUCACAGCAGGCUGCCCUUGCUCAGAUAGCAGCCAUUGCUGCCGCCUCUAAAGGCAGUACAGCUUCAAUUCAGACCCCUGUGCCUGCUGCCCAACUGCUUCCCAACAGUGGACUGCCUGUUUCUCUUCCAGGUGUCCUUGGUCUAACAUUACCAGGAACAGCAGCAGCUGUGGCUGGGACUGGUUUGCCUGUUGUUGGCAAUGAUGGGGCAGCUCGGGCUGCAGCAAUUGCAGCUGCGAUGAACUUGCAGCAUAAUCUGGCAAAGAUCCAAGCUGAUGCAAUGCCUGAACACUAUGAAGCAGAGUUGGAGAUAAAUGAUUUUCCACAGAAUGCUCGAUGGAAGGUUACCCACAAGGAAACUUUGGGACCUAUAUCAGAGUGGACUGGAGCUGCCAUUACUACGAGGGGUCAGUAUUUCCCACCAGGGAAGGUUGCAGGACCAGGAGAUCGCAAACUCUACUUGUUUAUUGAGGGCCCUACUGAACAGUCUGUCAAGAGAGCCAAAGCAGAAUUAAAACGUGUUUUGGAAGAUAUCUCAAAUCAGGCAUUAUCACUUCCUGGUGGAGCACAGCAAGGCAGAUAUCAAGUUCUAUAAGUGUGAGAUCUUAACUCCAACUUACUUUAGGCAUACUGUUAUCGGCUUAUGCUGAACUUAAUUUGCUUCUCAGUUCCUGGUCAAUUGUUUCUCAGUCCCCUAAUGAAUUCCAUAUUGAAUGGUUCUGGUUAACUGAUUUGAUGAGGACAUCUUUGUCAAACCCAUUAGGGUUUACAAACGAAAGAGAUGGAAGAGGGAACUAUUAAUUAGUUUCCUAAUUUAUUUGUUAGUUCCUAGGUUCUCUAAGUUUUCCAGAUUUCAUUAGGAUUUUUAGUUUUUCCAAAUUUCAGUAGGAUUUCUAAGUUUCCUAUUUUAUUUGGAUUAGGAUUUCUUUCCUAGAAUAAGUUUAAUUUUUCUUUUCACUCUAGGGUUAGAUUAUUAUAAAUACCCAGUCUAUGUAAUUCAUUAUAGAGUUGAGAUUUGAGAUAUUAAGAAAAGUUUACUUUCCAGAGAUUGGAGACUCCUUGGUGUGAAGCCAAGGCAUCUUUUACCACCUAUUUUCUGUUUUUCCAUUGUUUUCGCUUCCGCUAAAUUACCCAAAUACUCAACUCACCCAUAUCCUACAUCAUGAUUUCCUUGCACUUUACUGCUGGAUAAAAUAUUCAACUUGUAAGAGAACCAAAUUUGUUAAUGUCUGAGUGAAAUCUCAUUAAUCUUUUCCUGAAUCCAGGUUAAGCUUGAUUUACAAUUGUCAUUUAGGAAGUCAUUUUAUAUUGACAAUGAGGAAUCAGAUACAGAUUGGAUUUUGUUGUGUGAACUGUUACAAAUUUGUCUUGCUUUGCGCAAUUUUCUGGCCCCUUUUGAUUUUCUUUUCUUUUUUUUUGUUUAUCGUUUCCAUGGUGCGAGGGAUGUUAUAUGCAUAUGCUCGCAUGUUCAAUAUUGUCUCUGCCCAUUACAAAGCUGUCCAAGAGAUGCGACCGUGGUAUUGUCUUGAAAUUUCUGGAGCCAAUGCAGCUACAUAUACAUACUUCCUUAAGGUAGAGCACUGGAUUACAUCUGAAGAGAGGCUUUUAGUAGGAGGUCCAUUAUUUCUUGUUCUGCAUCCUUUCUGUACUGUUAAAAGCUUGAGCUAUCAAAGAAGAAAAGUUAAAAGGAAAUGACCACCUCAUCCAUCAAAUACUUGACAUGAAUGCUUUCAAUUGAGUCCACCACUGGUGAGCAGAUAUCGGUGUGGAGAGUGGUCCCCACCCUAUCAGCUGCUGGGUUUGAUGAUGACGGGACAGGUGCUUAGGUUUAGGAAAGGCCUAGAAGAAAUUGGCGCUCGCUUGCUUCAUACGGUAGCAGAAACAGUAGGGUGAUUUUACAUGGUUUUUUCUUUUCGUAUCCCGAGUGGUUGGUUUUAGCAAUUGUGAUUACUAUGCGUACUAAUGUCUGAAAUGGUUAGAUACUACCGGAAUUGUAUGUGGCCUCACUCGGCUCGUAACCCAGAGCUUGUUGUCUGAUAAUCUGUCUUAAAUUAAAUUAUUCUGUUGUUAUUCUUGUCA